rnacentral:lncRNA from 1 species
UGUAAUGUUACAAUGGAAAAGAAAUAACAAUUUAUACUAAAUCCUAAAUUAAUGGAAAAACGUAAUUAAAAGAAUCCUAAAAAUAUUAAAGUUACUAAAACAAGAAGUUUAACAUAAAUAAAACUUUUGCGACAAAAGGAAAAAUCCGGUCUCGAAGUUGCAUGGUGCAAAUAUAUAUUUAACGAAAGCAGCCACCACUUUGUUAAUUUCUCAAUCAGCCACCUUAAUCUCUACUCUUUUCUCUCUGCAUGCAUGUGAGCUUAAUAAAUUCAGCAAGCCUCUAUUUUUUAAUUCAUAUCCAGCAGCCACCAGCUUUAAUUCCAUUGAUUGAAUUACAUUGUUCCAGCCGGUUUUGCAACAAGCUGAUCCGAGUUAUCUCGCCCCUCGAGCCCUCCAUAAAACUCGUUCCUUGGCAUGAUAAUUCCCACAUUUUGGACCCCAUGACUUGAUGAUGAUAUUGGCCAGCUUCAUCAACUUCAUUUGGCCUCCAAUUAAGCUCAAAAAUUGGUUUCGUUCUCUCGCCAACACGCAUCAAAUAUUUUAUAGUUCGUGGCAUAACCUAGAUCACAUCAACAGCAAUGGUGGUAUGACAUGGCAAAUCACAUGUUGCCUCGUUAUAGUGAGUAUUAUAACUCCUAUCCACAGAUCAAACUUGAAACUUUAGAACUAAUAUAAAUCAAAUAAGUGCAUAAUUUCUAAAAAAGUAAAGUUUCCACUCACCUAGUUAUAGACUGUAAACUACGUAGAAUGGUAUACAUCUUUAAUCUUCUCCUCACCUCAUCACAAACAAGUACCAUUCCUAUCAUUAGAUAUAAAAAAUAUUAUUAAUAACUUGAUACCCUUAAUUUCCAACCUCACAAUCCCAAUUAAUGUCACUGACAACAUGCAAAUCCUUUACAAGAGUUACUUUGGCAUCUAAUCCCAACAUUUGACAUUUAUUUUGGUUUCCAUAAAAAAAAUAAAAAUAAAAAUAAAAAUCCAAGAAAAUCAGAUGAUUAUCAAUACUAGCACUACGUUUCCAGAAUACAGACAUCUAUCACCAGUUUCUAUAUAUUGAAAAUUGUCAUCAAAACUAUUGACAAAAACGGCACUUUCUGGACAAAAUUUCAAAAGUAUCACUAGUGUAUGAAUUUGCACGAAAAUUAGUUAAAAAUACCAAAAUCAAACCUCGUAUCUUUAUCUCACUCUAAUACGUCAUAAAUCAUCUGUUUGAAUUUAUAUACACAGUAGUUUAACACCAAUCUAGCUUCUCAAAAACAUUUUCCUUUGUAAUAAUAAUACCUCAAAUACUAGAACUGAUCUCUUAAGCCGGCACUCGAGUGACAUGAUACACUACAAUAGGUGAUUGGAGAUAAUGGUAGGUUGUAAAAUUGAAUGCACCACUUAUUAUAAUGUGGCACGUGGCCUUAGCACUGAUGUUUAUAAAAUCAAUUCCGCCUCAAAAACAUCUUAAUAACUUUUAAUUCUUGCUAAAAAUUCAAAUAUAAGUGAUUGUAAUGAAACCAAAAUUUGUCAAUAAGCCCCCGUUUGUCUCCAUUAAUAAUCAUUAAUCAGCUUGUUUGCUAAAAUCUUACACCGCAAGUGCACGGGUCGCGUUCAAGUAAUAAAG